AACUAUGCCAUGUUGCUUUAAGUCAUGUUUCUGUGAACAGAAAAAAUAACUUGAAAAAGAAGGCGAAUGAAGACACAUAGUACACCUAAAAGAAAUUUCUCUAUGGAGACUAAUGCUCCAAAGGAGCUUACAUUUUUACAACAAGCCUUGGGAAGACACGACGCCUCUCUGUACCGAAUCUACAACAGAAACUGAAACAAUUGCUCAGCUAUAGAAAAUAGUCAGUGAUAAUUUGGUAGCCAUUCGGCAAUUGGGAUCUGCUCAAGGAAAUUAAUUAACAGUCUGCCACAUAUACAUGAUUCUUUUUCAGCUGCAAUGUCCACUUAGCAACAAUAAUAUCGAGGGAAAAUAUACAUGACUGAACAUCUUCAGUAUACCAUUAUUGUAUACUUGUAUUUACUUAAUGGUUUGUGAAGUCAUUAGGCAAGAAUAUCGAGGGAGUUCAUAAACUGCACUUUACUAAGAUAAAUUCAGUAGAUCAAUCACUCUAGUGAAACUUAGAAUUCAAGAUUUUUGUCUCGUACACUUUACUAAGCUGCACUUUACUAUAAACUGCACUUUAUUAAACUAUACUAAAAACUGGUAAACUGCACUUUACUGAAAUAAAUUUAAUAGAUCAAACACUGUGGCAAAACUUAGAAUUCAAGAUUUCUGUCUCGUACACUUUACUAAGCUGCACUUUACUAUAAACUGCACUUUAUUAAGCUAUACUAAAACUGAUAUAAACUACACUUUACUAAGAUAAAUUCAGUAGAUCAAACAACGCGAAACUUAGAAUUCAAGAUUUCUUUCUCUACACUUUACUAAGCUGCACUUUACUAUAAACCGCACUUUAUUAAGCUGUACUAAAACUAAUAAAGUGCACUUUACUAAGUUAUACACCAACUGAUUCAGAACCAACAUGGUGUACCUUGUGAAUAUGUACAGAAAGUGCGUGUCCGAAGAGGCUGAUGUGCUCGCAUGAAAGGGGAAAAGGCAGCGUAGACCAUGAUGAACUAUGUGCUUGCUCGUCGACGCAGUGUUGCGCUGCGCUUGUGAGGCGGCCUUGCAGUCCCUGACCGAGCUCGCCCGCACGGGGUGCGACCUCCAAGCGGUCAAAGGACGGUGAGCGGGCGUGCGAGCAGGGUACGCGACCUCCACACAAUCCUG
rnacentral:lncRNA from 1 species